UGAGGAAUAUUGCCCAAUGGGGGAAACCCUGAGGCAGCAACGCCGCGUGGAUGAUGACGGCCUUCGGUUGUAAAUCCUUUCUGGGGACGAACAAUGACGGUACCCCAGGAAUAAGUCCCGGCUAACUACGUGCCAGCAGCCGCGGUAAAACGUAGGGGACGAGCGUUAUCCGGAUUUACUGGGCAUAAAGCGCCCGCAGGCGGUUGGGUAAGUUGGCCGUGAAAGCUCCUGGCUUAACUGGGAGAGGUCGGUUGAGACUGCCUGACUUGAGGCCGAGAGAGGAGAGCGGAAUUCCCGGUGUAGUGGUGGAAUGCGUAGAUAUCGGGAGGAACACCAGUGGCGUAGGCGGCUCUCUGGCUCGGAACUGACGCUGAGGGGCGAAAGCGUGGGGAGCGAACGGGAUUAGAUACCCCGGUAGUCCACGCCGUAAACGUUGGAUACUGGGUGUCGGGGGGUGACGAACUCCCUCGGUGCCGAAGCAAACGCGAUAAGUAUCCCGCCUGGGGGACUACGGCCGCAAGGUU
rnacentral:rRNA from 1 species